ACCCUUUAUCACCAAAAAAAAAAAAGUAAAGUAGAAAACCCUUUUGUAUUCCAAUUCCAAUUUUUUCACAAGGUCUUCUUCUGCGUUUUCUCCCGCAACAGCGAGAGAUAACAAAAUGGGGUUCUUCUCCUUUCUGCUGGCCCGUUUACUCUUUGAUUCAUUCUUCGUCCUCCCCGCACGACAGAUUUCAGAUCUCUCUAUCUCUUCGUUUUCCAAAGGUCGUAGCGUUGUUCCCUGUUCAAGUUCUCUUUGCUAACCACCGGCGCCGUGUUUCUCCUAUUUUUCGUUCUUCUUCUCAUCAUGGGCUCUUCUUCUUAGAUAAGAGUGGGUUGAAGAGCAAUGGUGUUGCUUUGACCAAAGUAGAUGUUCUGCAUAAGAAUGAAUUGGGUUGCAACAAAACCUACAAAAAGGAAUCAAAAUUGGAGCAAGAUGCCACACUUCAGUUCAUUUUUAGGUUUUGGCGUGGUUCAGGUACCAAAGCUAUUUCUGUUAUUUUAGGACUUGGUGUGUUUUAGGUGCCAAAGUUAAGCUUUUGAAUCUUAACAAGAACAACUAUUGUUACUCCAUAUGACCAAAACAUAAGUGGUUGUGCCUGCCCUUCAAGUGUUAGAGGAAGGUGUCUAAGUCCACAUGCAAUCACUAUUUUAGGAGCCUUAUGUUUUAGGCUUUCUAACAAGGUCUUGAGGGAUUAUUAAGGAAUAAGGAAGAUUUGAAGAAGAUUCGUCAAACCCGUAUUCUUAGACACAACCUCACUAAAAAGAGAUGAAGUCAGGGGACACUUCUAAAGUAGAGUUACUGAAGCUGUCAAAAAAAUGGAUUUUGAAGGACACUAAACAUCAGAACAUGGAUUUGGAGGCUUGAAGGAUAGUCUGAAGUGAAUGUGCCAAGUUCAAGUAUCACCAUUAGUUCUUGUUCAUCAACAUCAGGUUUGAUGAAAACAAUUCAGCGGAAGCGGUUAUGAGAGUUCAUUGUAAUUAUUGAUGAAGUUGCAAUGCAGAGACACCAACAUAUGGACUAUGGAGAAGCUGUACAAGGCCAACCAUGUCGGGGGGAGUAUGAACAUUAUCUACGAUGAAAAGGGAUUAUGAUCAAAGAAAGGUUGGAAUUGAUUAUGAUCAUUGAAAUUAAGAAAGGGAUUAUGUCCAAUUUUAGUUGUAUUUAUGGUUGAGUAAAUAUUGUCUUAACUUGUAUCUGAGACGUCAUGGGAGCAGUAAUCAUGUCUUUAGGUUUUUAUAGUAGGAGGUAGUACUUUUUAGUAUCCAUAGAAUGGAUGUAAUCCACUAUGCAUUUAUGUAAAACUAUAAAUUUGAAUAAAGGAUCAUGUAUUUGCCUCA